rnacentral:lncRNA from 1 species
AUGGUCUGGUACAAGUUGAGUUUUCGAUUUCAAGGUUUUGAGUUAGCCACGUUAUUGAACAUAAGAAACACGUUAGUAUUGAGGAAGUUUAUUCAGCUACCUGAGUGCAUGUUGUAGAUGAAGUGUAUAGCUGGUAAGGAGACACACGUCUAGGCUUCUGAACACCCAGUCACCCACCGACCCACCGACUCCCUCCUACCUAUUUCACCUUCCUCUCUUCUAGACUUCUAGUCUGUCCCAAAAACCACGCAGUGAAAGAAAACUCCAAAUUCCAGAACCAAAGUUUCCUUCACCGAAUCAAUUACCCUCUCCUUUAUUUCAUUAAAACCUUCACCAGUCUCAUUCUUCUUCCUGUGUAAUUUUCAUCACCCACCAUAGAAACCAGCCAUGAUGGUUAUUACCUGAAGGGAAAUAUGGGUGUCUGACCCAUCAUUUGAGAUUGAUCGUCUUAGGCUUGGAUUCUGGAUCGAUUAAGGUGGGACGGAGGAAGAGAGGAUUGGAGAAGUGGAUUCUAGCGUUCAUUGCUGCAAUUGGAAGUUAGAGGCGUUGGGUGUGGGCAUCAGCGAACCUAAUCAUUAAAUUGGUCAAGAAAGGUAAGCUGACAAUGAUUGGUAUAGUUAUAUGUGGGUUUUGGUUCAUGCUUGUUGAAGUGUUGACGUCUUUGUGAAUGUUUGGGUGGUUGAUUCUGUGAUUAAUUAAAGAAGGGCAAGUGGGUCUGCUUGUUGACAAUUAUAGUGCUAUGAGUUGAUUUAAUCAUGGAUGGGUAUUGGCCAUAAACAUUGUCUGGGAGUAUAGCCGCUCCUUAUUUGAUAGCUUUUGUAAGAAAAAUGGAAAGGUCUUUGAACCAUGUUGUUG